rnacentral:rRNA from 1 species
UACGAAGGGGGCUAGCGUUGCUUGGAAUUACUGGGCGUAAAGGGAGCGUAGGCGGACUGUUUAGUCAGAGGUGAAAGCCCAGGGCUCAACCUUGGAAUUGCCUUUGAUACUGGCAGUCUUGAGUACGGAAGAGGUAUGUGGAACUCCGAGUGUAGAGGUGAAAUUCGUAGAUAUUCGGAAGAACACCAGUGGCGAAGGCGACAUACUGGUCCGUUACUGACGCUGAGGCUCGAAAGCGUGGGGAGCAAACAGG